GCUCACGUAGCUCAGUUGGAUAGAGUACUUCCCUCCGAAGGAAGGGGUCGCAGGUUCGAAUCCCGCCGUGAGUACCA
rnacentral:tRNA from 1 species